AGGGGGCGUCAAAGCUUACCAAGGGAUAUCAAACUCCGAAUGCCGUGUAGAUGGUGCAUGGGAGUCAGACGAUCCGAGAUAAGUUGGGUGGUCAAAAGGGAAAGAGCCCAGACCUGCAGCUAAGGCCCCAAAAUGUGUGUUAAGUGGAAAAGGAUGUGGGAUUUCAAAGACAACUAGGAUGUUGGCUCAGAAGCAGCCAUCCAUUAAAAGAGUGCGUAAUAGCUCACUAGUCGAGAGGUCCUGCGCCGAAAAUGUCCGGGGCUGAAACACACUGCCGAAGCUCAGGGAUUUACGAAUGUAGAUCGGUAGAGGAGCAUUGUUAACCGGACGAAGCGGUACCGGAAGGAGCCGUGGACGGUUAAGAAGAGAGAAUGCCGGAAUGAGUAGCGAGAGGAAGGUGGGAAUCCUUCCGGCCGAAUAUCUAAGGUUUCCAGGGUAAAGCUGAUCUGCCCUGGGUAAGUCGGGACCUAAGGCGAGGCCGAGAGGCGUAGUCGAUGGAUAACAGGUUGAGAUUCCUGUACUAUACUGUAACAGAACUGUGGGGACGCAGAAAGAGAGCGUGAGCCGGGAAUGGAAAGACCGGUGCAAGCGUGGUACCAGCACAUCAGGCAAAUCCGGUGUGCAAUGGGAAGACGUGACGCGGACCGAAAAGAAGUAGGGAAGCACGUGAGCUGGCUGCCAAGAAAAGCCGCUAUUGUUUGCAGUAUACCCGUACCGUAAACCGACACAGGUGGAUGAGGAGAGAAUCCUAAGGCCGACGGGAGAAGCAUUGUUAAGGAACUCGGCAAAAUGACUCCGUAACUUCGGGAGAAGGAGUGCCUCGAGAGAGGCCGCAGAGAAUUGGCCCAAGCAACUGUUUAGCAAAAACACAGGUCUAUGCGAAACCGAAAGGUGAGGUAUAUGGGCUGACGCCUGCCCGGUGCUGGAAGGUUAAGGGGAGAGGUUAGCGGUAACGCGAAGCUUUGAACUUAAGCCCCAGUAAACGGCGGCCGUAACUAUAACGGUCCUAAGGUAGCGAAAUUCCUUGUCGGGUAAGUUCCGACCCGCACGAAAGGCGU
rnacentral:ncRNA from 1 species